ACGCCGAUGGUGAAACGGUUAUCAUGCUUGCCUUCCAUUUCUUGGUGCAGACCUUUCACUGCGAGCAAGCGGUAGGGGUUCGACUUUCCUUCGGCGUA